GAAUUAAAUAAACUACUACUUCGUAUAUUCCGGGGAAUAUGGUCCGGGAGUCUCUACCAAGCAGCCGUAAAUUGCUUGACUACGAGGUUUAAUGGCGGAAUC
rnacentral:ncRNA from 1 species